rnacentral:rRNA from 1 species
GAGCACGUAGGUGGGUUUGUAAGUCAGAUGUGAAAGCCUUCUGUUCAAAGGAAGAACGGCAUCUGAAACUGCAGAUCUUGAGUGUAGGAGGGGAGAGUGGAACUUCUGGUGGAGCGGCGAAAUGCGUAGAUAUCAGAAGGAACGUCGGCGGCGAAAGCGACUCUCUGGCCUAUUACUGACACUGAGUGUGCGAAAGUUAGGGGAGCAAACGGGAUCAGAUACCCCGGUAGUCCUAACUGUAAACGAUGGGCACUAAGUAGAGGG